rnacentral:rRNA from 1 species
UACGAAGGGGGCUAGCGUUGCUCGGAAUCACUGGGCGUAAAGGGUGCGUAGGCGGGUCUUUAAGUCAGGGGUGAAAUCCUGGAGCUCAACUCCAGAACUGCCUUUGAUACUGUCGAUCUGGAGUAUGGAAGAGGUGAGUGGAAUUCCGAGUGUAGAGGUGAAAAUUCGUAGAUAUUCGGAGGAACACCAGUGGCGAAGGCGGCUUCACUGGUCCAUUACUGACGCUGAGGUUGCGAAAAGCGUGGGGGAGCAAACAGGAUUAAGAA